UGUUGGCAAGCAUAGGAAAGAUCACCAAGAGAUACAGUACCCUGCCUUUUUUUUUUUUUUUUUUUUUUUCAAUAAUUCAUUUUCAGGCUCAUGUACUAGACUAAUGAGUCAUAACUUACCUCAUAUUCCAUCGUGAUACAGAACAUUGAUCAUCCUGAUGUGUUCAUUGAAGUUAUAUUCUGACGAAACUGUGCGAGUUCACUAAUUUGGCUCAUAUAGCAUCUUGUAGCCCCUUUUAACCGAGUCAGAUGACUGUUAGAGAACUGUGAUUUCAACAUAAAUUGUCCUGGCACUAACUUUGAAUAGUUCACACAUGCAUUGGAUUACUUCCAUAUCUUGGUCUAGUCCUGCAUCAAUAUAAAAGGGGCCUAAGAAAGGAGCAUUGGAUAAAACAGAAGGUCCAGAUUAAUGUUAUCAAUACCUCAUGUCUGACUGCAACUAUCUACAAGGACGUUCCCAUACGUACAACCCACCCGAGCAUUUCUCCAUUUUUUUUUGUAGCCUUCUAUAGUUUAGUGUAUGGGUUUCCAAAGAUGUAUGUUCCAAGACCAUGAAUACAUUCAGCUUCUAUAUAUUUGCUAAGAAGUGAUAUUAUGUACUUUGUCAUGACUAGAAACUUAGUUCUUAUGUAUAUUUGAAUUGGUUGAAAUGUAUGGAAAAUUCAACUCCCAAAAAUUUGCCACAAAGGACU